GUUUGCAGGCCUGCUUCCCCCUCAAGUGGCAUUUCCCAGUUGCGGGGAGCAGAGAAUCCUGGAACCUCUUGCAUCAGCCGUUUUGCAUGAGGGGUGGAGUGAGGACGGCCGGAGCCGCUGUCGGUGCGUCCACCUGGCUCCCGGGUUCACUGAGGCGAGGAAACGAACAAACGUGCCCCAGGGGUUUCUUUCCCAACAGAAGGCGCUCCGCCUUCUCCGCGCAGGCUGGCACUUGCAAAGAAGGAAAGGAAGGAAGACAGGGAAAGGAAGAGGGAGGCUGAGGCAGCACCCACGUCUCCGCAAUUCAGCGUCAUUUCACACAGGGUCUGUGAUCCCGAGUCGCCUCUGGGGAUCGCCUCUGAGGCACCGGUCUGUGCUUCAGCAAGGACGCCCUGCACCCCACUGACCGCGGGCCGCUAGCCUGGGAAUGAGGCCCUCCUCAGCAAGUCAGGGGCUGGGGGAGCCUUGAGGAAGCAGCUCAGGUGAGCCGGCCCUGAGAAGGGGUUGAAACCUUCCGUCGGGUCAAAGGAAAGUCGGGUGACCCAGCGAUUCCACUCCCCGGUGUGUACCCCAAAGAGGUGAACGUUGGUAUUCAAACCAGCACUGUUCACAACGGCUAAGAGUGGAAACGACAAUGUCCGUCCAUGGACAAAUGGACCAAAAGACAGCAGACCCGCACCGUGGAACACUACGCAGCCAUGAAGAGGAACAAAGUGCUGGCAUUCGCAGGGAUCCACCUUGAAAACAUGGUCAGUGACACAAGCCAGUCACCGGAGGCCGCAUACUAUCGGAUUCUAUGACGUGUCGAGGACAGGCGGGUCCACUAGACAGGAACUAGACGGUGUUGCCCAGGUUGGGGUAGGGCACGGGCAUGACUGCUGAUGGCUACGGGGCAUGUUUCUCAGAGAGGAGAAUGUUCUGGAACCAGACAGAGGUGGUGGUUGUACACGACUGUGAAUUUACUAAAUGCCACAGAAUCGUACACUU